UCAUAUUAACCUGCAUUAACUAUUUGAAAAUAAAACAGGAGAUAAUAAAAACACACGACCAUUGGGCAAAAACGAUGAAUUACAGCAAGUGUGAGUCAGACUGCAGCGGAUGAAAGUCCAAGGACAACACAACCUCAAUUGAAGCGACUAAACCAGACGAGGAGUACGGCUUAAGGCCAUAAAGAGACUCCGCAGACGGCAGCUUUCCCCUGUAACUCCCCCUCAGCCCGAAACCCUGAAGGGGGAUCCGAUAUAGAUAGUCUCAUGUAAAUCCCCAUUUAAGAAGGCAGUAUGACAUCAAAAUGAUUGAAGGGGCCAAGAUAGGAAGCAAGUAAGGAAGAUAAUGACGCGGACAGUAGUGAGCUUGGCGACGGGGCAAAUGUUAGCACCAUAUCUUGUCCCUGGUAUCCUGGGUAAAGCCCGUAGCCACAAGGCGAGCUUUAUAGCGCUCAAUAAUGCGUUGCCCGAUACUUAACAGAAAGACCAAUUUGCACCCAACUGUUGGACACAUGAGGAAGAGAGACAGCUCCCAAUAUAUGAUUUUGCUGGAGAGAGCCAUUUCAACCUGAUAGCAGACCAAUUGGGAUCCCGAAGAGCCUUCAGAAACAGAACGAGGCCUCGGAUAGCGGCGACAUGACCAAUGAAAGUCCGAUAGGAAUCAGAAAGGCCUGAUAAGAAACAUACUGAGCAAUAGAAUGUUUAAGUAGCAUGGGGUUAGAAAAUCAAGUUUAUCAGAGAGGACGACGUAGGAGGGAUAGCGACGUAAUGCAGGAGACGAGAUAGGGAAAUAUACCAGAUUCUGGAGAGAUUGCGGCAGGGGGGGAUCUGAGGCAGGGGGGGCGAGGCAGGUGGACGGCGGAAGUACAUAUGGCGUGGUGGAUCCAGAAGUAAGAACCGUGGAAGAGUGGGGAAGCCACCUGAGGGGACUCAAAAUAGCGGAACAAGGAACGAGAAAAUAUACUCGGAUCUCAGGAGGCCUUCCCUGACGAGGAUUAACGAAUGAGGUGUGCCCUGCAAAAACGGAAAUAUCUUUCAAAAAAGUGACAUCAAAGGAGUUAUACAUAUGACUAGUAAGGGGCAUCGUAACACCGGUAACCUUAGACAGAAAUGAGUAUCCUAAGAAGACACAACCGAAAAAGGCGCCUUUAUAUCCAGUUUUGACCGAGAGGGCUCCGAUUCUGGACAAAAACAUGGCACCCCAAAGACACGAGGAAGAAUGGGGGGAAAGAGUACAAUCGGGAUGAAGAAGAUGAAGAGGGGCUUACCAAGGAGAAUUCGAGCUAAGAGUACGGUUGAGAAAGUAGUAAGUAGCGGUUAGAACAGCCAUAUCCCAAACAAAAUGCUUAGGAAAUUGCAUCCACAAAGAGACACCGAACGACUGUCAUGAUUGGAGCGAUUUUUGCGUCCGCCAACACCAUUCUGGUCAGGGUAUAGGGAACAGGAGAAGGACGAAUGUUGGAGGAGACCAUGUUGACAAGAGCAGGAACGAAAGUCAUGGAGACAUAUUCUGCCAUUGUCAGACCGGAGGGUUGAAACGUAAGUUUAAAUUGGUUUUGAUCAUACUGACAAGAAACUCAUAAAAAAGCGAAAAAAACCUCAGAUUUCUUCUUUCAUUAAAAAACCCAAGUGCCCCGUGUGUAAAUCAUAAUAAAAGUCACAUAAUAACGAUGACCCGAGAGAGAAGUAACGGGGGGGAGGCCCCCAAAACAUAUUACCAGACGAAAAAUGAUAAUGUCAAAAGCAGUCGGAGCACGGUAUACGAGGAAAUAACUAGAACCGAACAGGUUUAGACAAUUCACCACACAUGUGCAUUUAAACUGAAACUCUGACACGUUUUAUUUAUUAAUGAAAAAGUUGACAUACGUACUGAAAGUGGCAAUGGUCCCAACGGGCCUGCCAUAGUUUAAAAGACGUUAAGAAAAAGACAUAGACUUUAAACUAGCAGAACAGAAGAUGCCUGAAGACUUCUAGAUGGCAAAGAAUCAGGUGGAUCGCCAAAGGAGACAGUCCAUUCACUCAUACCCCCUGCCCAAAAAUCUUCUUCGAAAUUCUGGUCCUGACAGAUGACAAGUAUGGGAUAGAAAAAUACAUCACAAUUGUAGUCAGAGCAAAGACGGACUAACCGAUAGAAGAUUAUAAGCAAAUCCGGAGAAAUAAAGACAAGAGACAAGGGAGCCUGGGAAGAGAAAGGCAUAUUUCGCCCUUAUACGGCCGUGGGACAGCAGACCCAUCCGCAAUACGAACCAAUGAUCAUAGAAGACAGAUCAGACAGUAAAGAGAGAUAACUCACAGUCAUAUGUCAUCUGCCCCUAAUCAAGACCCAAGAUGGAGUUUACUAGAUCUAACAUAGAAGGGCAGUGGGUUAUACCUGAGCGCAAGAAGGUUUAGCAGUAGAAGGGCUAGGAUUAGGACGAGAAGACUGCUGCAUAAGAGAACCUAACUGGGUUUUGAAAAUUGCAACUGAAGUUGCUCCAUUUGUUCUGAAACUGAGUGCAGAAGC
rnacentral:lncRNA from 1 species